rnacentral:rRNA from 1 species
UACGGAGGGUGCGAGCGUUGUCCGGAAUCACUGGGCGUAAAGGGCGCGUAGGUGGCGCGGGCAGUCAACGGUAGGAAGUUCGGGGCUCAACCCUGAAGUCGGCCGUCGAUACUCCCGGGCUGGAGCACUGUAGAGGCUAAUGGAAUUCCGGGUGUAGCGGUGGAAUGCGUAGAGAUCCGGAAGAACACCGGUGGCGAAGGCGGUUAGCUGGGCAGUUGCUGACACUGAGGCGCGACAGCGUGGGGAGCAAACAGG